AAAAAACGUAGAACAAAACCUAAAAAAAAUUCUUCUUCUGCCUUCUUCUCCUCUAUUCACCACCAAAAAAAUUCUUUCUCCAUCGCGAUGGUUCAUUCAUCCCGUCUAUUUGGUUCUCCGUCCUUUCUUCUUCUUGAUUCUCUCUGUUUUUUCUGAUUUACUAUUGAUUUGUUUUGUUUUUCUGUCGCAGGUGAUAUACUUUGAUAUGGAAUUCGAAAAGGGGACUAAUUCUUUUACCAUGUAAUUCUCAAAAGGAUCAAAUACGAUUCAUAAUUUGUUGGUAAAUCCUAACCCUAAUGUGUUUGAUUUUAUUUUCCAGGUACGUUAUUUUCUCAAAAAGAUUCAUAGUUUGUUGGUAAACCCUAACCUUAAUUUGUUGGUAAACCCUAACCUUAAUUUCUUCUUUUUUUGAGUUUUUGGUUGUACCAAUGCUCUGAUGGGAUGGGUUCAUCAUAUAUAUUCUUAGUGUUUGCUUAAUAGUAAAAAUCGCAGGAUUAUAGAAAGUUAUUGUUUUGCUUGAACAACAGUAAUGAGGCUAAACCUCCACAGUACUUUUUAUUUCCCAUGAAUUUCACUGAAAAGGUAUGAGCUUUGCAACAACACCCUAACCCUAUUUUGCAUUUCUUUAUUUCUUCUCAUAAUUUUCGCUUUGAUAUUUGAUUGUAUAAGUGUUGUUAUGGUGAUAGAAGCGUAGAAAUUGGAAACACGACCAGGAAAAUACGAGCUUUGUGAGUACACAAAUUGUACAUAUAUUUUCAAUAAAAAAAAAUCAUUGAUCUCACACCUUAUUUACUAUUCGUAAACCCUCACCCUAAUCUAUAAACCAAAUCUUUUGUUUUGUUUUGUUUUGUUUUUUCAAGAGAUUAAUGUUGAUUCAAGGUUUUGUGUAUUUAGAAAGAAGAAAUCCAGGGUAUUAUGAACCAAGGUCCUAAAAGUUUGGGACAAAAUUGGCUUACCAUUAGAAGUUUCUGGGUCUUUAUGGAGACACUCAGUCAAUCAAGAACGCUUAGAAACAGCAUUCAAAGCUCCUCAUGUGCCACAGGGGCUCUUUUCAUAUUCGAUGGGUGCAUAUCCAGCAGCGCAAAACGUGUGGCCCGCAGGUUAUGGAUCUCGACCACAUGCUUGGAACCAGGCUUCCACGUGCAUAGAGACAACAAUGGAACACUGGAUACACUCAACAGGCGGGAAUUCAUAGUAAAUGUUAACUUUUUAUUUUUUUUGCAAUUCAUAAUUCUCACUGCCCAUGCUCAUUCAUUUGAUUCCUGGGACACUGUUAGCUCAGGAUAAAGGUUUAGUGGUUUAAUUUUUGUGUAACUGAGGUUAUGUAUGUUCUAAGUUGCAUUCUUAGCGAAGAAGGAGAUAAGCAAGGGAACAUGAAGCGUUAGAUAAAAAUGCAUAAGCUGCUUGGUGGUAAAAGAUAAGGAAAGGGAGAAAGAAAAUCAUAAAAUCAUACAAAGAUUGACCGAAAAAUUAUGAAUUAGGUAAAUUCUAUUUAGAUUUAAUUCUUCUGAUUCAUGUAUGUGGUUUGUUCAACCAUUUCAUAUAUAUGGCCACUUAGCUUAUAUAUACAUUUUCUACAUUAAUAGAGACGAGUUAGUGAUCUUUGUUUGAGAGUAUGUUACAUUAGUUAAUACUUUGAAGUCUUUGACAGAAUAUAGUAUAUCUUUAUUGGAUUCCUUACGUUGAUCUCACUACCGGGAUGAGGUUUACGCAUACAUAUCAACGGUAGAAAGCAAAGUAAAGUAAAGCAAAUAUCAUGGUCUUUUUUUCUCCACUGCCGAUUAUUAGUAGUAAGGACUGAUUUUUUCUUAUGCACGGAUGUGUAGUAUUUACUUUUUGGUUGAAGUUGUUGGUUGUUGACCGUGUUGAUAGGGAUAUUAGUAUUACUGCAUAUGGAUAGGGUACUAGGUUCUCAGUUCUACACAGUGCCUGAUGUUGCCAUCAUUCGUAUGACCAGUCCAAAUUGAAUUGUGUUAGUAUUCUUCAAUCUUUUUCAUUUUACUAUUGAAGCAGAAGGUAAAAUUCUUCAAUUUUUUUUAAUAUAUUCCCAUUAAAAGAGUUGACUGUGCAUCAAGCUAUUAGCUAUCAUUACCCUGAACUAACAAAAAAAAAGGUUCAAAACAAGUUGAUUGUGUAUUAGAUCAACCAAUUUCCAGUUUCUUGAACAUUUAUACAGAAUACAUCUUUUGUUUAAGGGCAGCAAAGUAAAGUAAAGCAAAUAUCAUGGCCUUCUUUUCUCCACUGCCGAUUAUUAGUAGUAAGGACUUAUUUUUUCUUAUGCACGGAUGUGUAUAGUAUUUAAUUUUUAGUUGAAAUUGGUGGUUGUUGUCCGUGUUGAUAGGGAUGUUACUAUUACUACAUAUGGACAGGGUACUAGGUUCUCGGUUCUAGACAGUGCCUGAUGAUGCCAUCAUUUGUAUGACCAGUCUAAACUGAAUUGUGUUAGUAUUCUUCAUUUUUUUUUUUUACUAUGGAAGCAGAAGGUAAACUUCUUCAAUCUUUUUUUUUUAUAUACUUUCCAUUAAAAGAGUUGAUUGUGCAUCAAGCUAUUAGCUAUCAUUACCUGAACUAACAAAAAAAGGUUCAAAACAAGUUGAUUAUGUAUUGGAUCACGAAAUUUCCAGUUUCUUGAACAUUUAGCCAGAAUGCAGCUUUUGUUUAAGGGCAGCAACGGGUUUGUCUAUUUAAGUUUUUUGUUUUUAACUCUUCAUUGAUCUACUUCUUUUGUCAGGUUGAUUUUAAAGGUACUGCGGAUGCAUUAAUAACAAUUUAGGGUUUUUAUUUGUCAUAUACCAGAAAUUGUGUCUUACUUGGUUAACUAGCCUUUGGUCAUCCAUAGAUUUCUCAUCUCCCUCCACAAAAAAUAUCAGAUUUUUAAUGGAUUUGAACUUCAAAUUGUUUUGAUUUCUCAUAUACCAGAAAUUCAUGGUUUUUAUUUCUCAUAUACCAGAAAUUGGGUCUUACUUGGUUAACUAGCAGUUGGUCAUUCAUGGAUUAAUUCUAUGUUCUCAUCUCCCUCCAAAAAAAAAUAAUAGAUGUUUAAUGGAUUUGAACUUCAAAUUGUUCUUCUAAUGGUGUUGUUGAUAAGAAGGAGAAAAAGGAAAAAGAUUGUAUCUUUCGUACCAUUAUUCGUGCAAAAUCCCAAGCAAAGUGAUUUGAUCAUUUUUUUUUUCUUUAUUUAAGCAUGUAUAUACGCUUAUUAAAAAUCCCACGAACUCCAGAAACCAUGUAUGCUUAUUAAGAUUUAUUUCACUCUUGCACAGUCUAUAUGUAUAUGAAGUAGAGUUGCAGAAACCAUGUAUGCUUAUUAGAAUACUGGAGUGACAUAUUAAGUUCUUACAAAUGCAUGUUUUUAUCUUUCCAAGAGCAUAUAAAGAGUUCUCUGUUUCCGUAGUUACGUUUGUAUUUGGAAACAAAAUCUACAAAUUUAGACUAUUGAUUCAGGUGUUUAUCUAUUAUAGAGUAAUUUUAAAGAGAAUGCGAAAGGAACAUAAAGGUUUUGCACUGUCGCAAUAUGCAAGAAAAUUAUCAGGAACGUUAGGUGAUUGCAAUCCCGUUGUUAUUUUUUAUGAAGGAUUAUUAGUAUAGUCACUGUUACUUAGUCAUCUUUAAGGAUCUCAUCAAAAAACAAUUGGAAGAGAGUGCAUCUUUGAAAGCCGAGGUGCUAGCUUUUCUGAGGUGGGAAUAGAUCAGGCAUGCCUUCUCUUUUAAUGUACUUUAAGACUUGACUCAUGGAUAUUGCCACCGAAAUGGACUAUGCAAAGUACAUUGUAUAUAACUGUGAAAUGUAUGUCCACGGUGCAAAAAUUGCCACUACUAACCAACAUUAAACUCGCUUUAUAUGUGAACUGUACUCGCUUUUGUUAUUAUUCUUUUUGUUUUUGUUUGAUUGUUAAAACUUAACAUUCUAAUGUGAUUUUAAUGACUACUGCAGUGCAGCCACCGCAAAAAUUAAGUAUAACUGCUACUAGAUGCAACUUAUGAUGCAGCCACUGCAAAAGUUAAGUAUAACUGCUAAUGGAUGCAACCUAUGAAUGUGGAUAUUUUUCAUUUCAGUAGUUACAAGCCAGCCUAGCUCUACCAUCUGCCAAUUCUAAUGGCAGAGAUUCAAUUUUCUGAAAGUAAUCAUAAAGUUCUUGUUUCAAUUAUAAAAAAAUGCAAUUUGAAUCUAUUCGGUUUUUUGCUUCUUAGUUUUUUUCUUUAUCAUCAAGGCCAUCGAGAAGUCAUGCUUUGGUCAUUCUCUGAAUGAGAUACAUGAAAUGUCUUCUGACAAUGCUCAUGUCAUCCAAGACAAGGUAAGUUUACUCAUCAUAGUAACGAAAAUUUACAGUACGUUGAAUUCUACUAAUACACUUCUCAUAUAACUAAUGUGGAUCUCUUACGUUCCAUUUUCUCCUAUUUAACCUUGCAUAUUUGUUGUUAUAUCCACGGUAUUGCACUAUUUAACUCGUGUAAUCCAUACGAGACUCCAACAGUCUCCAAUUCGGUCCUCAAAAUCCAUCAGCUGAUGUCGUACCAGGAACUUUAAGAACGAUCGAUGAAUAAAAGAAAGAUUAAAGGCAGAGUUCAAGAGACGAGUACAAGGUGUGUCUGGCAUUGGCUUGGACAAGUUUAGAAGACAACACGCAAACAAGGUACGGUGCUGGUGAUAUGUUAACAAUGGGUGUUGACAAGGUUUGGUGGUUGUAUUUUGCAGUUGUACGGUGCUGGGGAACGAUCUAUUGAAGGAUAUCGACUGCGUUUAAGCCGAUAAACUGGCGAGAAAGGAGGGUCCAUGGACUGCUGCUGCCACUGAUUUCGUGUGGAAAAAUGGUGAUGAACGGAGAGGAUCAUGAGGUUGUUCUGAGAUGGAAUUCAGUAAGGAUGAUGGAUGGAUAUACAAAGAUUGUUGCUAUGAUUCAGGGAUUCAGGGAUUUGACCUAAAAUUGGCGUUGGUCGUGAUGGCUGUUACCAGUAUUAAGAGUGCAGUCAGUGAUAGUGAUAAGACAUGUAUGCUGAUUUAGGUCAUAAUUCAGUUGGAUUUGAAUUCAGGUUCAAGGAGAAAGGGAAGUGAACAGCUGCAAAGAAAAUUCUUUUUCUUCCCUCUUUUCUUCCACCGGUGGAGCAAACCCUAACUUCUUCUUCUUCUUUUUUUAAAUAAUUUUGAUUAGGGUUUGCUUUUCUUGCAAAUACUUUGCUGCCAUUUUUUUCUGCCUUUUGUGCAAGUGAAUUUAUGGUAACCUAAACGGAUAAACCUAUUCUCUUAUGAGUGAAAAAAACUGGGUUUGCUUUUUUUAGUUUUAUUAAGAAAUUGAUUGCACUUAAAAAUUGAAAGUGCAGCAUUAUUGCUUUAACAGUA